GGUCUUAAUGUUCUUCAUAAAAAUAAAUUGUUCAUAAUCGUAUAGAUUUAGACCUGUAUUUUAAUUGUAUUUAAUUAGAAACUCAUUACACAAAUGAAAUCACUUAAACGUAACUCUCAAAAUUUCUCCUGCUCUGUUCCUGGCCAACUAAGUUAUUUUUUUGGAUUAACACGCUCCAUGGCCAACUAAGCUAUUCUAUUUUUGAAUCA